rnacentral:rRNA from 1 species
CACGUAGGGUGCAAGCGUUGUCCGGAAUCAUUGGGCGUAAAGAGCUCGUAGGCGGCUUAGUAAGUCGGGUGUGAAAACCCCAGGCUCAACCUGGGGACGCCACCCGAUACUGCUAUAGCUAGAGUCCAGUAGGGGAGUGUGGAAUUCCCAGUGUAGCGGUGAAAUGCGCAGAUAUUGGGAGGAACACCAGCGGCGAAGGCGGGUCUCUGGGCCGAUAUUGACGCUGAGGAGCGAAAGCGUGGGGAGCGAACAGG